rnacentral:rRNA from 1 species
GUGUCAGCAGCCGCGGUAAUACGUAGGGGGCAAGCGUUGUCCGGAUUUACUGGGUGUAAAGGGUGCUCAGGUGGCUUGGAUAGUCAGUGGUGAAAUCUGAGAGCUUAACUCUCAAACUGCCAUUGAUACUUCCUGGCUUGAGUACGGAAGAGGCUGAUGGAAUUUCAGGUGUAGCAGUGAAAUGCGUAGAUAUCUGAAAGAACACCAGUGGCGAAGGCGGUCAGCUGGUCCGUUACUGACACUAAAGCACGAAAGCGUGGGUAGCAAACAGGAUUAGAAACCCGAGUAGUCC